GAUGAACGCUGGCGGCGUGCUUAACACAUGCAAGUCGAACGAUUGAAGCUGGAGCUUGCUCCGGCCGAUUUAGUGGCGGACGGGUGAGUAACGCGUGGGUAACCUGCCUCAUACAGGGGGAUAGCAGUUGGAAACGACUGGUAAAACCGCAUAAGCGCACGGUGUCGCAUGACACAGUGUGAAAACACUCCGGUGGUAUGAGAUGGACCCGCGUCUGAUUAGCUAGUUGGUGAGGUAACGGCCCACCAAGGCGACGAUCAGUAGCCGGCCUGAGAGGGUGAACGGCCACAUUGGGACUGAGACACGGCCCAAACUCCUACGGGAGGCAGCAGUGGGGAAUAUUGCACAAUGGGGGAAACCCUGAUGCAGCGACGCCGCGUGAGUGAUGAAGUAUUUCGGUAUGUAAAGCUCUAUCAGCAGGGAAGAUAAUGACGGUACCUGACUAAGAAGCAC
rnacentral:rRNA from 1 species